rnacentral:rRNA from 1 species
UACGUAGGGGGCAAGCGUUGUCCGGAUUUAUUGGGCGUAAAAGGCUUGUAGGUGGCCACGCCAAGUCGGAUGUGAAAUCUCCCGGCUCAACUGGGAGGGGUCAUUCGAUACUGGCGGGCUCGAGGCCGGUAGGGGGAAGUGGAAUUCCCGGUGUAGUGGUGGAAUGCGUAGAGAUCGGGAGGAACACCAGUGGCGAAGGCGGCUACCUGGACCAGCACUGACACUGAGGCACGAAAAGCGUGGGGGAGCAAACAGG